GUUUCCUGGCAGAGUUCAGAGCAGUUUUAGUAAUUAUACAGCCAGUUAACUGAUUUCUCAUAUAUUUUUUCGAGAUCUUCUGAACAUACCAACAGUUAGUCGACCGAUGAUUCUGCAUCCUGCGAUGGAGGCGUGAAUCACUGGAAUUGUUUCUGUCAGUUCAGCCUCGAAGACACUAGAAACAUAAACGUAGUCAUAUUUUGCAUUAACGUUUUUAACCGGAAAUGAUCGAAGCCAUUUGUGGUCUUCUGUCCAACUGCAAAACGAGACUCAAUUUGUUAAACAUAAUCAGGUUGAGAUAUUGAAGAUUAAGACAGUAGUCAACGUUGACGUCGACUUUGAUGGGGACCGGAUGCCGGGAAGUCGUCACAUUGUGCAAUCGUAACUUGCUGGAGUACAACGUUAAUUAAAAUGUUAAUUAAAAUUUUUCCCUUUCUCUUCUAAGACAGAUCAAUAAUGAAGUCGAUUUAUCUAAUUCGAAAUCAGGAGAGAAAUCCCAUCAUUAAUCUUCAUCCUCAAAAUGCUUUCUGAAGCUUCAAAGUAAGACGAUUCGUCGUAAUCAGAGCAUAUGCUCAUGGCAUCGGUGGGAAUUUGCAGAAAUCCAUUUCCUUGUUUACGUGUAGCUGAGGAGUAGAUGAGUUUUAUGAGGGAGUUCUUACCUGUAGAAAUUUUCGGAUCCCCCGAUUGCCACAAGACAGUACGCAUUCGUCAGCUUGGAGAACACACCGACUUCGUUACUGUUCUCGAAUUGUACUCUCACUGCCAUUGUUCCCCAAUGAAGAUGAUUCUGGUGACGUACAGGAAUGGCAAUAAUUUUAAUGUUUCGAGGAACUGGUGGAUAAUAAUUUAGGAUGAAUAGCUUGAUGGA